GACGAACGCUGGCGGCGUGCUUAACACAUGCAAGUCGAACGGAAAGGCCUGCUUUCCCUUGUGGAUUGCGGGUACUCGAGUGGCGAACGGGUGAGUAACACGUGAGUGAUCUGCCCCCAACUUGGGUAUAAGCCUGGGAAACUGGGUCUAAUUCCCGAUAGGACUGCAGGGUGGUGCCUGUGGUGGAAAACGAUUUUCUAGUGGUUGGGGAUGAGCUCGCGGCCUAUCAGCUUGUUGGUGGGGUAAUGGCCUACCAAGGCGGCGACGGGUAGCCGGCCUGGGAGGGUGGACGGCCACAUUGGGACUGAGAUACGGCCCAGACUCCUACGGGAGGAAGCAGUGGGGAAUAUGGCACAAUGGGCGGAAGCCUGAUGCAGCGACGCCGCGUGGGGGAUGACGGCCUUCGGGUUGUAAACUCCUUUCGACCGCGAGGAAGCCACCUGGUUGGAAGGGUGGUGACGGUAGUGGUAGAAGAAGCACCGGCUAACUACGUG
rnacentral:rRNA from 1 species